rnacentral:tRNA from 4 species
AGGGGCAUAGCUCAACUGGCAGAGCGUUGGUCUCCAAAACCAAAGGUUGGGGGUUCGAUUCCCUCUGCCCCUGCCA